rnacentral:rRNA from 1 species
GAUAAACGCUGGCGGCGCACAUAAGACAUGCAAGUCGAACGGACCAAAACCUUAGGUUUACUUUGGUAGAGGUUAGUGGCGGACUGGUGAGUAACACGUAAGCAACCUGCCUAUCAGAGGGGAACAACAGUUAGAAAUGACUGCUAAUACCGCAUAUGCCAUAAUCACCACAUGGUGAUAGUGGGAAAGGAGCAAUCCGCUGAUAGAUGGGCUUGCGUCUGAUUAGAUAGUUGGUGGGGUAACGGCCUACCAAGUCGACGAUCAGUAGCCGGACUGAGAGGUUGAACGGCCACAUUGGGACUGAGAUACGGCCCAGACUCCUACGGGAGGCAGCAGUGGGGAAUAUUGGGCAAUGGACGCAAGUCUGACCCAGCAACGCCGCGUGAAGGAAGAAGGCUUUCGGGUUGUAAACUUCUUUGACAGGGGAAGAGCAGAAGACGGUACCCUGAAAACAAGCCACGGCUAACUACGUG